rnacentral:rRNA from 1 species
GCUAAGACUGGAUAGGAAGAAAUAAGGCAUCUUUUUUCUUUUAAAAGACCUAGUGAUAGGUAUACUUUAGGAGGGGCUUGCGCCAUAUUAGUUAGUUGGUAGGGUAAUGGCCUACCAAGACGAUGAUGUGUAGCUGGACUGAGAGGUUGAACAGCCACAUUGGGACUGAGACACGGCCCAAACUCCUACGGGAGGCAGCAGUAGGGAAUUUUCGGCAAUGGAGGAAACUCUGACCGAGCAACGCCGCGUGAACGACGAAGUACUUUGGUAUGUAAAGUUCUUUUAUCAAGGAAGAAAAGCAAGUGGUGAACCAUUUGUUUGCCGGUACUUGAUGAAUAAGCCCCGGCUAAUUAUGUGCCAGCAGCCGCGGUAAGACAUAAGGGGCAAGUGUUAUCCGGAAUUAUUGGGCGUAAAGGGUGCGUAGGCGGUCUAGUAAGUCAGUGGUGUAAUGGCAACGCUCAACGUUGUCCGGCUAUUGAAACUGCUAAACUUGAGUUAGAUAGAGGCGAGUGGAAUUCCAUGUGUAGCGGUAAAAUGCGUAAAUAUAUGGAGGAACACCAGAGGCGUAGGCGGCUCGCUGGGUCUUAACUGACGCUGAGGCACGAAAGCGUGGGGAGCAAACAGGAUUAGAUACCCUGGUAGUCCACGCCGUAAACGAUGAGUACUAAGUGUCGGGUUAAACCGGUACUGAAGUUAACACAUUAAGUACUCCGCUGAGUAGUACGUACGCAAGUAUGAAACUUAAAGGAAUUGACGGGACUCCGCACAAGCGGUGGAUCAUGUUGUUUAAUUCGAAGAUACCCGAAAAACCUUACCAGGUCUUGACAUGUUUUUGCGAAACGGUAGUAAUAUCGUGGAGGUUAUCAGAAACACAGGUGGUGCAUGGUUGUCGUCAGCUCGUGUCGUGAGAUGUUAGGUUAAGUCCUAAAACGAGCGAAACCCUUAUCGUUAGUUGCCAGCACGUUAUGGUGGGGACUUUAACGAGACUGCCAGUGAUAAAUUGGAGGAAGGUGAGGAUCACGUCAAAUCAGCAUGCCCCUUAUGACCUGGGCUACAAACGUGAUACAAUGGCUGUUACAAAGGGUAGCUGAAACGCAAGUUCUUGGCCAAUCCCCAAAAACAGUCUCAGUCCGGAUUGAAGUCUGCAACUCGACUUCAUGAAGUUGGAAUCGCUAGUAAUCGCGAAUCAGCAUGUCGCGGUGAAUACGUUCUCGGGGUUUGUACACACCGCCCGUCA